AAGUGGUAGCAAUACCAUGAGUAAAGUGGCGCACGGGUGAGUAACACGUGACUAACCUACCCUUGAGUGGGGGAUAACUGAGGGAAACCUUAGCUAAUACCGCAUAAUACCUACGGGUCAAAGGAGCAAUUCGCUUAAGGAGGGGGUCGCGGCCGAUUAGUUAGUUGGCGGGGUAAUGGCCCACCAAGACUAUGAUCGGUAUCCGGCCUGAGAGGGCGCACGGACACACUGGAACUGAAACACGGUCCAGACUCCUACGGGAGGCAGCAGUGGGGAAUUUUGCGCAAUGGGGGAAACCCUGACGCAGCAACGCCGCGUGGAGGAUGAAGUACUUCGGU
rnacentral:rRNA from 1 species